UUUUUUUUUUUUUUUAAGUUUUUUCCAAUUAAUAAAAAUAUUUCUUUUUUUUGUAAAUUUGUUAUAACCUGAAAUUUUUAAUGUUAUAGCUUGAAAGUCUAAAUCUACUGUUAUAGCUUGAAAAUAGUACUAUAAUAUAUGUCAUAUAUGAAAUUUACACUUCAGCAAUAUAGCUUGAACCGGCCCGUGGUCUAAAUAAAAAAUUAAUUAAAAAAUAAAAAUAAUAUAGAGUAUUAAAAGUAACAAAAGUUUAAACUCAAAGUCUAUGUAAAGUUUUAAACAUCAAAAUUUAGAAUCAUCAAAACGUGAUGUACUUAGUAUCCCUAUUACUACUGUAUCAUUGGAAUCAUCAUUCACUAUUGGUGGACGUGUUCUCACAAAGUAUAGAAGUUGCAUCCAUCAUGAAAAUAUUCAAACACUUGUUUCUACUGGAAACUGGCUGCAUGAUUUUUUUCAAACAAGUAAUAUUUUUUACGUACAGAUAAAUAUUAUACGUAGUUCUUAAAUUUAGUGAUUUUCUUAUGUGUAACUAAUUGAUAUUGCAUAUAAACCGUAUAUGAAAAUGAAGAUGUUAAGACAACCUUGCCACAAGAUGAUUCAUAACUGCUUGAUGAAGAUGAUGUGUUGGUGUUGAAUACGCCAUAAGUUUCAUGCAUUUUUUUAAGGAGUUCAUUUUUCACUUUUUAAUGAUUGGAAUAUUGUCAUAUUUUUUGUGAUCAUUAAAAAAUAAUUAGGUUAAUAUUUCUAUUUAGCUAGUUAUAUUUUUACUUGAAGUCAAACUUAAUAAACAAUAUAAAGAUUAUUUUAUUAGUGGAUUUGGUUAACCAGUAGUAACUCUAAUCAUGUAAUAUUCUCUUGUCGAUAUUUAUGUUAAUAUUUUUAAGGGAAAAUUAGCAAACUAGUCAAAAAACCUAACUUAAUUAGUAAAAACUUCCAUACUUUAUAAAUAUUAGUAAAAAUGUCAAAAUAUCAUUAUUUUUGAAAAUAUUGUGUAUCCUAAUUUACUUCCUAUUUUAUUUCACCUUAAUUACACAUUUUUCAGUUAAUUCUCUCUCAUAUGUAUAAAAAAAAGUGAAUAUUUUCAUCUUCCAAUUCUUCUCCAUUUCAAAGCCUGUCUCUCUUUGUUCCUUCUUGUUUGUUUGUUUUUUUCUUUCAGAAAUUGGAAAAUAUAUUUUAUAAAGAUAUUCACACAAUCCCUUUGAUUAAGAUAUGCAUAUAAGAUUUGUUUUAUGAUUUUUUUUUAAAUCGUUCAAAAUUGUUGUCUGUAGUUGAAAUGAUGUUUAGGGUUUGAUAAACUCCAAAUCACUCUCCAAUGGUAGAAUUUAAGAGAAUUACUUGAGGUAUCCAACUUAAUCAACAAUUUUCUAGAGAUUUUCCAUCAUUUAAUCUACGUAUUACUCAAGAAAUAGCGGAUAAUGUAGGAUCCGCUGCUGAAAUGAUGGAAGAGACGAUCGAAACAUUUACAGGACCCAAUCAGUGUGCAAAACCUUCUUCAAAUUUAGAACAGAGUUGUUUAUUGUAUUCCCAAUUUUAUUUUAUUUUUGUAUUUGUGAAUAUUUUGUUAGUUUUGAUAAAAUAUCACAUAUUUGGAAUCAUCCUUUUCUAGGUAUGUAUAUUGGUAUGUAUUUAGUAAAUUAAUGAUAUUUUUAUACUUUAGAUAGUGAUGCUAUUUCAGAUUGUAUUAAUGAAUUCUUAUUGGAUAGUUUUGUAUUCAUCAUGGUAUAUUUGUUGUAUUUGUGUUGUGUGAUUUUAUAAGUUACUGUACUUAUAGGUUUUUGUAUUCACUAUGCUCUGUAUAUCAUUUUCUAGUUAUGAACAUUGUAAGAGUGUUGUUUGUAUCCAAUUAAGUAAAGAUACAUAUUAACUUAUACAUUUGUAUUCCUUUAAAACAAAUAGUGUUGAUAUUUCAGAUUGUAUUCACUCCUUAUUAUUUGAUUGUUUUGUAUUCAUUAUGGCAUAUUUGUUGUAAUUGUGUUAUGAGCUUUACAAGUUACUGUAUUUACAUGUGUUUGUAUUCAUUAUGCUAUGUGUAUCAUUUUCUAGUUAUGGACAUUGCAAGAGUGUUAUUUGUAUCCAGUCAAGUUAAUAUACAUAUUAACUUUAUAAAUUUGUAUUCAUUUUAAAUCAGUAUAGCAUAUUUGGAAUAUUCAUGAUAUCAUAAUAAUUAUUGUAUCUGUCUGGUGUGGAUUACAAGUUACAUUAUGGUUUAAAUUUGUAUUUAUAUGAUGUGGUUUCUAAGAUACAAUGUAGUUCAAUAAAUAGAAAACAAAUAACAAAUAAAUAAAUGAAAAUACAGUACAAUUGUCGUAAAAAAUUGUACCCGCUCCAAUGUGUUUUUCGUAGGAAUACGAUUUGAUUUGAAAAAUUAAAAACAAACAGCCAAUGAAAAAAACAUGUCUUCAAACAAUCCAUUAUUAUUUUCGUAUUCAACAAGAAAAAAAUUCAACGAAUCCACCAAAACUAAUUAUUCAUACGUUGUUCAUAAUACAUACAAUUUACAAUGAAAAUAGAUACAAUUUACAAUUAUGUAUAAAAAUUUAUAUCAAAAUUAUAAUCAAUUAGAAACAAAUUAAGGAUGAAGCGAUUAACUAAUACAUGGUCCAAUUUGUAUUCCACCAAUUUUAUCGAACUUCCAGCAGAAAAAUCCAUCUCCAAAGCUGCUUGUCAACAAUUUUUUUGUCUUAUUUCGUUCAAAUCUAUCUUACCAAACAGGAAAAAAAAUAGAUUUUAAUCAAAAUAAAUUGAUCAGAGAUUGAGUAUUUUCAAUUGAAUCUUGAAUAUCGAUAAUGAGAAAAUUGAUCAACAAUGGAGUCGCCGAUGAAGUAUUCAGUUUUGAUUUUUGUAACUAAUGAGACUUUUAAGGGAUUGUUCCUUUUUAAAAUUAUUUUUCCCCUAAAUUUCUCCUUUCUGCUAUUUAACAAUUGUAUUCUUUCAAUUAAAACAAAUAAUAAAAACUUAAAUAAGAUACAUAAUAAACUAUUUUUUGACAUUUUUACUAAAUAUUGAAAGUGUUGACAAUGGAUCCUAUUAAAUGUUAAAAUAUUGACAUUUUGAAUUAUUACCCUAUUUUUAAAGUAUAAUUUUAAAAAAUUAUUAAAAGAAUAUUUUUUUAAAAAAAUGGGUUGACCCACCACGAUCUGCAGCCCACGUACUAAUGGUUGGGCUAGUUGUUUUUUGGCCCACAAAAAAUUGGUCAGUCGUCCUAGCCCGUCAAAUUUUAAAGCUUGUAUGGAUUAGUCCUGGUGGAGUGGCUAGCCCAUAUUGACAACUCUAAUUAAGAUUAUAUAAGGCUAAACUUUCUUUCAGAAAAAGAAAAUAGUAAUCAUAAAUGUGAAUAAAACAAGAAAUUUAAUAUUAGAUUCUAACAUUUUUAAUUUAUGAGUCUAAUAAGUAAUAAGAAAAAAAAGAAGAUGAAGCAGGAAAAUGUUGCAUUUGGAGUUUCAAAAUUAAAACAUGUCAAAGUUGAGUUUCUUUUAUUUUUUUAAAGAAAUAUUCAAAAUUACCCUUUGAUUAUAAUAGAUACAUUUAACCUUUUAAAUUUAUUUGUCCAAACAUUAUUACCAUUUUAUUGGAAGUGCUAAUCAAAGGAAGUGGGAAAAUAUUGCAUUUGGGAUUUCAAAAUUCAAAACCGGUCAAAGUUGUGUUGUUUUUUUAUGAAAUAAUCAAAAUUACCCUUUGACUAUAAUAAAUGCAUUUAACUUUUUACCUUAUUUGUCUGUUACCAUUUUUUGGAAAUCCUAAUCCUUUUAUAUUUCGAUGGAUACGUUUUCAGUUCCUCACCAAUUCGUUUCGUUGUUCUCAAUAAAAAAAUCCUUUAUGAAAAAUGCAGCCACCGCCAACAAGAUGAAUGGAUCACCAAGACAUCAUAAUGAAAUUUUGGCCUAUUUUAUUUCACAAAUCUUGGCCAAAAUAAACAAUAUACUGUUGAAAGAGAUAGUUAUUACAUCUAUACAAGUUAGAUAAAAUCAUACAUCUAAAAAAAAAAAAUGUAAACAAUUCACAAUUUAUUAACUCCAUACGUAAUUUUCCAAGUAGUCCACCCCACCCCACCCCCACCUCUACUUCAACCAUCUAAUACGUCGUUUGGUUGGGAACAAGUCAUCCCAGGAUAAGUUAUCCUGGGAUUAGCUAUCCUGGGAUAACUUAUCCCACCAUGUAUAUGAGAUAACUUAUCUCAUCACUAAGAUAUUAAUGGUGGGAUAAGUUAUCCCAAACAUGGCAACCAAACAAGAUAAAAAAAAAUUAUCCCAUCACUAUUAUUUUUUAUAACCUGCCAUGAAAUUACUCUAUCAUCACCCUAUGCUAGAAGUGUAACAAUUGGCUUCCUUCAGAAUAGCAAAACAUACAUAUAUCUUCAAUUAAUAAAGCAACCAAGGCCUCACACAGUCACAGACAAUGCCUCAGUAGCAGUCACAUAUACAUUAAUUCAACAGAGGGGAUAAAGGGAAGAACCUUGUUCAACUCUACUCUUAGAUGAUCUAAAAAAGCAACAACAUUAUACUGUUCAUAUAUCUAAUAGAACACUUCACUAUUAAUUCGAACGGUCUUCAGAACCAUAACUAAUAAGAAAUAGCCCAGAAACUAUUGCAUAUAUGCUUUAACCAUAUGAUCACAUAUUUUUGGACUCAUCAUCUGAUUCCUCAGAAGAGACAUCGGUAUCUGUGUCAGUAGUUCCAAUCGCGGCUGCUGCUUCUG
rnacentral:lncRNA from 1 species